ensembl:lncRNA
GUGUAAGUUCUGGUAGUCCCCUCUCUUCCCUUCCUGUGUAAGUUCUGGUAGUCCCCUCUCUUCCCUUCCUGUGUAAGUUCUGGUUGUCCCCUCUCUUCCCUUCCCUUCCUGUGUAAGUUCUGGUAGUCCCCUCUCUUCCCUUCCCUUCCUGUGUAAUUCUGGUAGUCCCCUCUCUUCCCAUCCUGUGUAAGUUCUGGUAGUCCCCUCUCUUCCCAUCCUGUGUAAGUUCUGGUAGUCCCCUCUCUUCCCUUCCCUUCCUGUGUAAGUUCUGGUAGUCCCCUCUCUUCCCUUCCCUUCCUGUGUAAGUUCUGGUAGUCCCCUCUCUUCCCUUCCCUUCCUGUGUAAGUUCUGGUAGUCCCGUCUCUUCUCUUCCCUUCCUGUGUAAGUUCUGGUAGUCCCCUCUCUUCCCUUCCCUUCCUGUGUAAGUUCUGGUAGUCCCCUCUCUUCCCUUCCUGUGUAAGUUCUGGUAGUCCCCUCUCUUCCCUUCUCUUCCCUUCCUGUGUAAGUUCUGGUUGUCCCUUCUCUUUCCUUCUCUUUCCUUCCUGUGUAAGUUCUGGUAGUCCCCUCUCUUCUCUUCCCUUCCUGUGUAAGUUAUGGUAGUCCCCUCUCUUCUCUUCCCUUCCUGUGUAAGUUAUGGUAGUCCCCUCUCUUCUCUUCCCUUCCAGUGUAAGUUCUGGUUGUCCCCUCUCUUCCCUUCCUGUGUAAGUUCUGGUUGUCCCCUCUCUUCCCUUCCUGUGUAAGUUCUGGUAGUCCCCUCUCUUCCCAUCCUGUGUAAGUUCUGGUAGUCCCCUCUCUUCCCUUCCUUCCUGUGUAAGUUCUGGUAGUCCCCUCUCUUCCCUUCCCUUCCUGUGUAAUUCUUGUUGUCCCUUCUCUUCCCAUCCUGUGUAAGUUCUGGUUGUCCCCUCUCUUCCCUUCCUGUGUAAGUUCUGGUUGUCCCCUCUCUUCCCUUCCUGUGUAAGUUCUGGUAGUCCCCUCUCUUCCCUUCCCUUCCUGUGUAAGUUCUGGUAGUCCCCUCUCUUCCCUUCCUGUGUAAGUUCUGGUUGUCCCUUCUCUUCCCUUCCUGUGUAAGUUCUGGUUGUCCCUUCUCUUCCCUUCCUGUGUAAGUUCUGGUUGUCCCUUCUCUUUCCUUCCUCUGUAAGUUCUGG